CAAGAGCGUAUAUUAAAGUUGCUGCAGUUGAAAAGCUCGUAGUCGGAGUUCAGGGUCCGCUGGUUGGUCUGCCGAAAGGUGUGUACUGCCCGGCGGAUUCUUCUUCCCGAAGCGCGCGUCUGCCCUUGAUUGGUGUUUGGCGUUGCACCUCGGGUCGUUUACUUUGAAAAAAUUAGAGUGUUUAAAGCAGGCCACUGCCUUGAAUACAUUAGCAUGGAAUAAUGGAAUAGGACUUUGGUUCUAUUUUGUUGGUUUCUAGGACCGAAGUAAUGAUUAAUAGGGAUAGUUGGGGGCAUCAGUAUUUAAUUGCUAGAGGUGAAAUUCUCAGAUUUAUGAAAGACUCACUAAUGCGAAAGCAUUUGCCAAGGAUAUUCUCAUUGA
rnacentral:rRNA from 1 species